UACGUAGGGUGCGAGCGUUGUCCGGAAUUAUUGGGCGUAAAGAGCUCGUAGGCGGUUUGUCGCGUCUGCUGUGAAAUCCCGAGGCUCAACCUCGGGCCUGCAGUGGGUACGGGCAGACUGGAGUGCGGCAGGGGAGAAUGGAAUUCCUGGUGUAGCGGUGGAAUGCGCAGAUAUCAGGAGGAACACCGAUGGCGAAGGCAGUUCUCUGGGCCGUAACUGACGCUGAGGAGCGAAAGCGUGGGGAGCGAACAGG
rnacentral:rRNA from 1 species